GACGAACGCUGGCGGCGUGCCUAAUACAUGCAAGUAGAACGCUGAAGCUUGGUGCUUGCACCGAGCGGAUGAGUUGCGAACGGGCGAGUAACGCGUAGGUAACCUGCCUGGUAGCGGGGGAUAACUAUUGGAAACGAUAGCUAAUACCGCAUAACAGUAGAUAUCGCAUGAUAGCUACUUGAAAGGUGCAAAUGCACCACUACCAGAUGGACCUGCGUUGUAUUAGCUAGUUGGUGAGGUAACGGCUCACCAAGGCAACGAUACAUAGCCGACCUGAGAGGGUGAUCGGCCACACUGGGACUGAGACACGGCCCAGACUCCUACGGGAGGCAGCAGUAGGGAAUCUUCGGCAAUGGACGGAAGUCUGACCGAGCAACGCCGCGUGAGUGAAGAAGGUUUUCGGAUCGUAAAGCUCUGUUGUAAGAGAAGAACGAGUGUGAGAGUGGAAAGUUCACACUGUGACGGUAUCUUACCAGAAAGGGACGGCUAACUACGUG
rnacentral:rRNA from 1 species